GAUGAACGCUGACAGAAUGCUUAACACAUGCCAGUCUUUGGUGAAGCUGUGCUUGCACAGCCUAGCCAAGGCGGACGGGUGAGUAACGCGUAAGGAACUUGCCCUGCAGUCAGGGAUAACAGACGGAAACGACUGAUAAGACCUGGUAAAGUCAGGCGGACUCAUGUCCAGCCUGAUGAAAAGAGAUGCUGCAGGAGAGCCUUGCGUCCUAUUAGCUUGUUGGUGGGGUAACGGCCCACCAAGGCAAUGAUAGGUAGCCGGCCUGAGAGGGUGGACGGCCACAAGGGGACUGAGAUACGGCCCUUACUCCUACGGGAGGCAGCAGUGGGGGAUAUUGGACAAUGGGGGCAACCCUGAUCCAGCAAUUCUGUGUGCACGAUGAAGGUUUUCGGAGUGUAAAGUGCUUUCAGCAGGGAAGAAAAAAAUGACGGUACCUGCAGAAGAAGCGACGGCUAAAUACGUG
rnacentral:rRNA from 1 species